rnacentral:rRNA from 1 species
UACGAAGGGUGCAACGUUGCUCGGAAUUAUUGGGCGUAAAGCGCACGUAGGCGGCAUUGCAAGUCGGAUGUGAAAUCCCUCGGCUUAACCAAGGAAGUGCAUCCGAAACUGCAGUGCUUGAGUACUUAAGAGGAUCGCGGAAUUCCGGUGUAGAGGUGAAAUUCGUAGAUAUCAGGAGGAACACCGGUGGCGAAGGCGGGUCUCUGGGCAGUAACUGACGCUGGAGGAGCGAAAGCGUGGGGAG